rnacentral:rRNA from 1 species
AGCGAACGCUGGCGGCAGGCCUAACACAUGCAAGUCGAGCGGCCCUUCGGGGCAGCGGCGGACGGGUGAGUAACGCGUGGGAACGUGCCCUUUGGUACGGAACGACUGAGGGAAACUUCAGCUAAUACCGUAUGUGCCCUACGGGGGAAAGAUUUAUCGCCAUUGGAGCGGCCCGCGUUAGAUUAGCUAGUUGGUAGGGUAAUGGCCUACCAAGGCGACGAUCUAUAGCUGGUCUGAGAGGAUGAUCAGCCACACUGGGACUGAGACACGGCCCAGACUCCUACGGGAGGCAGCAGUGGGGAAUCUUGCGCAAUGGGCGAAAGCCUGACGCAGCCAUGCCGCGUGAAUGAUGAAGGUCUUAGGAUUGUAAAAUUCUUUCACCGGGGACGAUAAUGACGGUACCCGGAGAAGAAGCCCCGGCUAACUUCGUGCCAGCAGCCGCAGUAAAAC